UGGUGUCCACUGAGGAAGUAGUAUGU
rnacentral:piRNA from 1 species